rnacentral:rRNA from 1 species
AGAGUUUGAUCCUGGCUCAGGACGAACGCUGGCGGCGCGCCUAACACAUGCAAGUCGAACGAGCGAGAGAGAGCUUGCUUUCUCGAGCGAGUGGCGAACGGGUGAGUAACGCGUGAGGAACCUGCCUCAAAGAGGGGGACAACAGUUGGAAACGACUGCUAAUACCGCAUAAGCCCACGGUGCCGCAUGGCACAGAGGGAAAAGGAGCAAUCCGCUUUGAGAUGGCCUCGCGUCCGAUUAGCUAGUUGGUGAGGUAACGGCCCACCAAGGCGACGAUCGGUAGCCGGACUGAGAGGUUGAACGGCCACAUUGGGACUGAGACACGGCCCAGACUCCUACGGGAGGCAGCAGUGGGGAAUAUUGCACAAUGGGGGGAACCCUGAUGCAGCGACGCCGCGUGGAGGAAGAAGGUCUUCGGAUUGUAAACUCCUGUUGUUGGGGAAGAUAAUGACGGUACCCAACAAGGAAGUGACGGCUAACUACGUGCCAGCAGCCGCGGUAAAACGUAGGUCACAAGCGUUGUCCGGAAUUACUGGGUGUAAAGGGAGCGCAGGCGGGAAGACAAGUUGGAAGUGAAAUCUAUGGGCUCAACCCAUAAACUGCUUUCAAAACUGUUUUUCUUGAGUAGUGCAGAGGUAGGCGGAAUUCCCGGUGUAGCGGUGGAAUGCGUAGAUAUCGGGAGGAACACCAGUGGCGAAGGCGGCCUACUGGGCACCAACUGACGCUGAGGCUCGAAAGUGUGGGUAGCAAACAGGAUUAGAUACCCUGGUAGUCCACACCGUAAACGAUGAUUACUAGGUGUUGGAGGAUUGACCCCUUCAGUGCCGCAGUUAACACAAUAAGUAAUCCACCUGGGGAGUACGACCGCAAGGUUGAAACUCAAAGGAAUUGACGGGGGCCCGCACAAGCAGUGGAGUAUGUGGUUUAAUUCGACGCAACGCGAAGAACCUUACCAAGUCUUGACAUCCCUUGACAGGCAUAGAAAUAUGUUUUCUCUUCGGAGCAAGGAGACAGGUGGUGCAUGGUUGCCGUCAGCUCGUGUCGUGAGAUGUUGGGUUAAGUCCCGCAACGAGCGCAACCCUUAUGGUCAGUUACUACGCAAGAGGACUCUGGCCAGACUGCCGUUGACAAAACGGAGGAAGGUGGGGAUGACGUCAAAUCAUCAUGCCCUUUAUGACUUGGGCUACACACGUACUACAAUGGCGUUAAACAAAGAGAAGCAAGACCGCGAGGUGGAGCAAAACUCAGAAACAACGUCCCAGUUCGGACUGCAGGCUGCAACUCGCCUGCACGAAGUCGGAAUUGCUAGUAAUCGUGGAUCAGCAUGCCACGGUGAGUACGUUCCCGGGCCUUGUACACACCGCCCGUCACACCAUGAGAGCCGGGGGGACCCGAAGUC